rnacentral:lncRNA from 10 species
UUCCUUUCACCUGCUCUUUCCCUGCCUCCACUUCCUCAACACCCUAUGAAGCAACUAUUUUCAGACAUUGGACAGUAGGCAAAAGGACCAUGGGUCCCUGAGAGAGGCAGGAUCCAGAGUCUCCCCAGCCUGAGGGCACUUUCUACCCACAGCUUAUGGGAGUGAUCCAAGCAGAGAUGACAGCUCUGCUGAAUUAAGAGAUCAGAAUAUGAAGACAUUGGGCCGGUUCUUAGUUGAGGGGGCAGAGUAAGAAGAUAUGGGGAACUACGGCAGAAAGAGCCUGCCAAUCUGCAUAUGGGUCUCCUUGAGCU